rnacentral:tRNA from 1 species
GGAGAGAUGGCCGAGCGGUUCAAGGCGUAGCAUUGGAACUGCUAUGUAGACUUUUGUUUACCGAGGGUUCGAAUCCC